UCACCGCUUGCGCGGGCAGUCUCAUUAGAGUCCUCAGCAUUACCUGCUAGCAACUAAUGAUAGGGGUUGCGCUCGUUACGGGACUUAACCCAACAUCUCACGACACGAGCUGACGACAGCCAUGCGGCACCUGUCUCUAGGCUCCUUUCGGCACUCCGGUAUCUCUACCAGAUCCCCAGGAUGUCAAGGGUAGGUAAGGUUCUUCGCGUUGCAUCGAAUUAAACCACAUGCUCCACCGCUUGUGCGGGCCCCCGUCAAUUCCUUUGAGUUUCAACCUUGCGGUCGUACUCCCCAGGCGGGGUACUUCCUGCGUUAGCGCCGGCACCCAGAGGGUCGCUCCCCCAGGCACCUAGUACCCAUCGUUUACGGCGUGGACUAC
rnacentral:misc_RNA from 1 species